rnacentral:rRNA from 1 species
AUGCAAUGGAGGUGGGGGACGACAUACCCAGCGGAUGUGGCCACAGACGAUGUUGUGCUCUUCUCAUACCAGAUGCAAUCGAGAGAGUGGACGAGCGUCGGGCGGAGAUGCCCGCGGACGAUGCGGUGCUCUUCUCGUACCAGAUACAAUGGAGGACGGCGGCGUGGAGCUCGCGAGGACGCCGCCGCUGUGCCACGAAAGAUGGCGACACAGAGCUCGCCAGCACGACGCCUGUCAUCUUCGUCAUCAAACAGGCGCCAUGGAGAAUGGAGGUGUGGAGCUCCAAGGAUGCCGUCGCCGUGUCGCAGAGGAUGGAGAUACGGAGCCCGCCUAGACAACGCCCAUCAUCAACAUCAUCAAGCCGGUGCCACCGUGGACGGAGGCAUGGAGCUCGCGGGACGACACCACUGGUGUCUCUAUCUCAUCAAGACGGAGCCCAUAACCCGGAGCCCAUGA